rnacentral:lncRNA from 1 species
CAAGUAAACAUUGAUUACAUGCACGUGGGUUUGCUUUUUACAGUUUUUGAGUUAGCAUUUAGUUUAAAGUAUGACAGAGACUUGCACGCCGGAGAUUGCACAUUCAGAUGUAGGUCUACACAAUAUAAGAUCAAAAAUUAAAUAAUGAAGUGAAUCAUAAAUUUUAAUCGUAUUACUGAAUAAACAUUACUGUUAAAAAACAUGAAACUAAUUAUGUUUCCUUACGAUCUUGCCCCGAG